rnacentral:rRNA from 1 species
AUUGAACGCUGGCGGCAGGCCUAACACAUGCAAGUCGAACGGUAACAGGAAGCAGCUUGCUGCUUUGCUGACGAGUGGCGGACGGGUGAGUAAUGUCUGGGAAACUGCCCGAUGGAGGGGGAUAACUACUGGAAACGGUAGCUAAUACCGCAUAACGUCGCAAGACCAAAGAGGGGGACCUUAGGGCCUCUUGCCAUCGGAUGUGCCCAGAUGGGAUUAGCUGGUAGGUGGGGUAACGGCUCACCUAGGCGACGAUCCCUAGCUGGUCUGAGAGGAUGACCAGCCACACUGGAACUGAGACACGGUCCAGACUCCUACGGGAGGCAGCAGUGGGGAAUAUUGCACAAUGGGCGCAAGCCUGAUGCAGCCAUGCCGCGUGUAUGAAGAAGGCCUUCGGGUUGUAAAGUACUUUCAGCGGGGAGGAAGGGAGUAAAGUUAAUACCUUUGCUCAUUGACGUUACCCGCAGAAGAAGCACCGGCUAACUCCGUG